UGGAAGAGAGACAAAUAACAAUUGAAGCAUAAAGGCUGCCAUUGAAGUGUUAAAACUAGUGUGUGUUCGGGAAGAUUGGUCUCAAUGCUUUCUCGAGGGAGAUCCGAUUAAUACAAACAAUCAAAGCUAUUAAGAGGGAGGGAGUACAACAAAAGAGGAGAUCCAUAAUUGAUGUCUUUGGAUCCUAUUCCUAUCUGGCGUAUUGUUGUCCUCCAAGGCAACCGACAUCAGUUUGAGACUUGAGUGGAGUGAGUGAGAAGAUCACGUAAUAUUCAAUUGUUGUUCAGCUCUCAACAAGCAAGGGAACAAACAGGACCAUUAUUCCCAUAAUGAAAUACUUUAGAAGAGAACCCAGAGCUUUAGACCGCACCAAAACAUUAUGGCCCAUACUUAUGAAACAUGAAAAGGCUAGACUAAAAUUAUUGCUGUACAACUAAAUAUAAAAAGGACCACAGGUCAAAUUUGCCUUUAUUCUUUUUCCUUUUUCUCCUCUCCACUUGUUUAUACCAUCUACUCCAAAAUUGUACUGCUACUAUCCUAGGUGGAAAACAAGUUAUAGCCUAUAGUGGGAGCAUUAACCCACUUUCUGAAAUCUAUCCUCUCAUUUUUCUUCACCACUGCAAUAUUGGGACCUUAAAGUUAGCCUUGUCCGAAUUAUAGCCCUUCUUCAAUUUUGAUCUAUGAAGCCGUUUGGCCAUAGCAAUGAUGUCAUUCUUGAUCCACGAAAGAAGAAUAAAUGGUUUGACAAGAAAAAAAGAGCUUGCUACAUGAUCUAUCCCAGGUCUAUGGUAAUCUUCUGGGGUGAAAGUGAAGAGUCCUGGAGCUGGGAAUACUUUCAAGAAACAAGGUUUGCUUUACGAAAAGAAAAAAAAACAACAAAACAACAAAAUACAAAAAACAAAAAAUCAAAUCAAAUCAAAAAAUCAUUUUGAUCAUUUUGUUUCACCAAAUUAACUAUUAACCCAUUUCACACUCAAUGGCCAUGGAUUUGUCUUUUCAUUAGUUGAGAAAUCAUCAUUUUGGCAAAUUGAGGACACAAGCUCCACUUUCUCUCCCAAUAGACAUCUCUCGGCUCUCUCCAGCACAAAACAAGGAAGAAAGAAAAAAAUUUUCCCUCCCUCUCUCUGGACCGAAAAGAAGAAGAAAAAAAAAAGAGAAAAACUCCUCUCUCCCUCUCGGCUCUCCUCUCUCCCAAAUUUUUUCCAACACAUUUGCACACAACAAGGCAGCAAUCGGUUGGAUUGGAGCUUGGCAAUUUCAUCAAAAAUCUUGGCAAAGGGACCAAACUCUUCAUUGAGGUAUCUAUCUCCCUUUUUUCCAGCUUUUCUUUUUUUUAAUUAACUAGAUUGAAUGUAUGUGUGGUUACCUUUUUUAUUGCUUAUUUUUGCUGGUUUUUGUUGGUGUUGUAUGGAUGAAAUUUUGGGAUGGGUCAUGAACAAAAUUAGGAAAAAAA